CUUCAACGAACCCAGCCACAACGGCCGGUCGGCCAUCCGCUCCUUGCCGUACGUGGCAAGGACGGCCUGCGCCUC
rnacentral:antisense_RNA from 1 species